rnacentral:tRNA from 1 species
GCCUUGGUGGCUUAGUGGGUUAAGCGUCUGAUUUCCCCUCAGGUCAUGCUCUCAUGGUUUGUGAGUUCGAGCCUCGCAUGGGGCU